rnacentral:rRNA from 1 species
ACGAACGCUGGCGGCACGCUUAACACAUGCAAGUCGAACGAGAGAAGAGAAGCUUGCUUUUCUGAUCUAGUGGCGGACGGGUGAGUAACACGUGAGCAAUCUGCCUUUCAGAGGGGGAUACCGAUUGGAAACGAUCGUUAAUACCGCAUAACAUAAUUGAACCGCAUGAUUUGAUUAUCAAAGAUUUAUCGCUGAAAGAUGAGCUCGCGUCUGAUUAGCUAGUUGGUAAGGUAACGGCUUACCAAGGCGACGAUCAGUAGCCGGACUGAGAGGUUGAUCGGCCACAUUGGGACUGAGACACGGCCCAGACUCCUACGGGAGGCAGCAGUGGGGAAUAUUGCACAAUGGAGGAAACUCUGAUGCAGCGAUGCCGCGUGAGGGAAGAAGGUUUUAGGAUUGUAAACCUCUGUCUUCAGGGACGAAAAAAGACGGUACCUGAGGAGGAAGCUCCGGCUAACUACGUGCCAGCAGCCGCGGUAAUACGUAGGGAGCGAGCGUUGUCCGGAAUUACUGGGUGUAAAGGGAGCGUAGGCGGGAUCGCAAGUCAGAUGUGAAAACUAUGGGCUUAACCCAUAAACUGCAUUUGAAACUGUGGUUCUUGAGUGAAGUAGAGGUAAGCGGAAUUCCUAGUGUAGCGGUGAAAUGCGUAGAUAUUAGGAGGAACAUCAGUGGCGAAGGCGGCUUACUGGGCUUUAACUGACGCUGAGGCUCGAAAGCGUGGGGAGCAAACAGGAUUAGAUACCCUGGUAGUCCACGCCGUAAACGAUGAUUACUAGGUGUGGGGGGACUGACCCCUUCCGUGCCGCAGCAAACGCAAUAAGUAAUCCACCUGGGGAGUACGACCGCAAGGUUGAAACUCAAAGGAAUUGACGGGGGCCCGCACAAGCAGUGGAGUAUGUGGAUUAAUUCGAAGCAACGCGAAGAACCUUACCAGGUCUUGACAUCGUAUGCAUAGCUCAGAGAUGAGUGAAAUCUCUUCGGAGACAUAUAGACAGGUGGUGCAUGGUUGUCGUCAGCUCGUGUCGUGAGAUGUUGGGUUAAGUCCCGCAACGAGCGCAACCCUUAUUGCCAGUUACUACGCAAGAGGACUCUGGCGAGACUGCCGUUGACAAAACGGAGGAAGGUGGGGAUGACGUCAAAUCAUCAUGCCCCUUAUGACCUGGGCCUCACACGUACUACAAUGGCUGUUAACAGAGGGAUGCAAAGCCGCGAGGUGGAGCGAACCCCUAAAAGCAGUCUUAGUUCGGAUUGUAGGCUGCAACCCGCCUACAUGAAGUCGGAAUUGCUAGUAAUCGCAGAUCAGCAUGCUGCGGUGAAUACGUUCCCGGGCCUUGUACACACCGCCCGUCACGCCAUGGGAGUCGGUAACACCCGAAGCCUGUAGUCUAACCGCAAGGAGGACGCAGUCGAAGGUGGGAUUGAUGACUGGGGUG